GUUAAGUUGUAUAAAAUAAAGAAUUUUGCAAGAGUCAUGAAGAAACUUACAAGGGAAGUACAGAAGACAUUUUCUACUCUGUGUGUGCUGAAACUACGAGAGAGGACUUGGAAGUGCUGUAUGGACAGUCCUUGUAAAACAUCCCUUUUGGAGGCCUUUAAACAGCUAAGAGCAAAAACAAAUUUAUGUUAUCAUAGAAAGAGUCAAAAGUAAGAAUGAAGAAAACAAGAUGCGAUUCUGUUGCUAUUUGGAACUCUCUGAAGUGAGGACUGAGUGAAGCACGAUGACUUACAAAGGCUCCUAUAU